UCUCCCUCUGUUCCACCGCGCCCCUCCACUCCACUGCUCCUCCAGUCCUCUUCAGCCUCCAGCCCACGGGUUCUCUCUCUACGGCAUGGACCCUUUCCAUCUCAGCCUCUCUCCUCGACGGCCCUUUCUAUACUCGACGGUGAUAGACUAACGGUGUCAAAUGGCCUUGAAGUCUCGAACUUGGUUGCUCUCUUCCUCAAGCAGCAAAGCAGAAAGCCAGAAACUGUUGGUUACACUCUGGAUUCGGUUUCUGGGUUUUCACUUACAUUCUUGGUUUCACUCUUCAAGCUUGGUUAGGUUCUGAAAUCAAGCUUGAGUGUUCAAAUGAUUCUUGAGGCCGUCAUCUCAAAAAGUUUUAUCGCUAGUUGCUGAGUUGA
rnacentral:lncRNA from 1 species